AUUUAGGUAGUUUAUAAGAAAAUAUUAUUUUGUGGUAAUAAAGAUGUAUAUAUAUUAUACCUUAAAUU
rnacentral:tRNA from 1 species